AGUUUAAAACAAAGAUAUAGCUAAAUAUGAUGUCUACAUAUCUUGUUCACAUACUGAUAGCAAUUGGACAAUAGCCUUCAAAGAAAAUAUGAGAUGUUUAGAGGCAGAAGGUGAUGUGUACGUAGACAUGCAUGUUAGUUUGUUGAAAACGCAAUACACUGCAAAGACAUUUGUGUCUGUGUUGAAGAUGAAUUGUGGUGUGUUCAUCAACAAAUAUUAUAAUAGUGUACUAGAGAUAGACUACUUCGGCAGUUUUUUUCCUAGUUAAAAGGUAAGAGU